CAUGGUUAAUAAUAUAAACAGGGAGCUAGGUAUGCAGAAAUCUAAGUACAAGGGUCCUAUGUCAAUGGCUUAUUACCUUAUCUUUUCUGAGUGACAUUCUCGUGAAUACCUGGAAUCAUAAUAGCUACUCAAGAUAAGAAAUGGAGGGAAAUUCAAUAACAGUAAGAGGCCUGGUAACUUAUGAGAUCUCGAUUACCCUUCAACUGUGCGAGGAUAAGAUUCACUAUACUGUAUGCAAAAGGAACUGAAUAGCAGUAUGGAAACCAUUUUCUCAUUGCAGAGAAGCACUAACAACUGGCUUUUGUGGUUGUUGAGACUUGCUUAUAUAUAUCCACAUAUAUACGUGAAGCUUCUGACUUUCCCAUGAAUGACUUCUUUCUACCUUGAUGGCCUGUGGAUGGCAAGUAUCUCUGGCUCCUGCAGUGGUCUCAGAGCACUUAUGGGCUGGGCUGAUGCAUACGGAGCUCUGAAUUUAGUCCUAGAUACCAUCAAACCUGGAAGUGGAUGUCCAUGUUUUAGUGAAAUCUGUAAUCCAGUUGAUGACAGUGGGGGGUGGUUUGCUCUUCUGGUGGGUAAAUGAGCACAAAGAAGGAAUAAGAAAAGGAGCCUGCAUGAAGUCAUGUAUUAUUUUGGCUCUGAAAGGAUUCAACAGGCAAUUUCUCUCUAUGUUUACUAUCAGGCCUUUCUUCCGCCAGAACAACAGAUUUUACUGUAUGUGAAAACCAUCAAAAGGAAAUGUGAGUAUGCCAGACACUUAGGAUGUGUCUGUAGGGCACUGCCUGUUCCAUAUCAGCCACCAGAAAAGGGAAAUGACAGCUUCGAAAGGCUUUGGGGACUCUAUUGCAUCAGCAGAAUCUGAAAACAAAUUUUGUUUUAAGUGAGUAUGUCCCCUAUGCUGGUUUCUGCUGUCCCUGUCAGGUGUUAUGCUGUUUCCUCAAGUAUGGAUAAUGCUAGUAAUUUCCAGGUGGUUGACAAUCUACAGUUUCUCAUAGCAGAAAGGAAACUUUUAUUCUGACUUCAACUUUCACUUAUAAAACCUUACAAACAAGCAGCUUCUCUGUCCUUUUAGGUAGAUCCAAGGCACAAUCUCAAGGCACGUCAAAGGAAAGCCACAGCAUUCUUUCUGGGGCAGCAGAGUCUUAGGUCAGUGUGUUCCUAUCGUGCUCCUGUACCUGCAUGAGGGUAAAUUGUUUCUUCAUGUUGAUUCCAACUUGGAGAUGUAGCACAACAUCAUAAACAGAGAGAAUCUGACAGAGUGUUUGCUAUUGUGGCAAUAAGGAUGGAGAGUAUGCUGUAGAUCUUAGAAGAUGAAUUCAGUGUUAGCGAAUGCUUUUUUAAAAGGUCAGAUUAGAUGAGGAAUGCAGCCAUUUGCCAAUCCAAAUGAACACCAGCUCUAAAAAGAUAACUCUAAAAAGACUGCUAGAUUAGUGCUCUGAUCCGGACACAUCCCUUAGCCUUGUGAUUUCAGAAGAAAAGCGUGAGAGAGGGAAGGAGUAUGCGAGCAAUGUGAGGCUAUGACCUUUGCUCUCAGCAUCAGGCAAUUUUAUAGUGAUUUGAACUGCCUGUGAAACUGCAUCCUAAGUUAUAUUCUGUGCUGUUUUCUGUUUGUUUGUUUUCUGCAUAUGCAGUUGAAAUUCCAGGAUGUACCAAGUAAUGUCCAACAGACAGGCAAAGACAAAAAAUGGUGCCAAAAAAUGGUGCAGCAAAUUGUGUUGAGCUUUCUGGAGUAAAAGCUGCAGCAUUUGCUUCGGCUUGGCAGGUGUGGCUUAGAAGACUAUGGAAAUGGUGCUGUGGAAGGGUCAACCUGGAAGUACGGAAAAGCCAUCUCCCCUAGGAGCAGUUUGCAGCUCUGGGAAGUAUCAACACAUGCACCAAAUCGCAGUCUUUGCUGGCUACUUGUAUGGUAACUUCUCAGUCAUGGCCUAGAACCACUGAUUGAGCAUCUGGGGAAAGGACUCAGCCCUGGGAUCACAGGUAAAGGCAAUUCAGCUGUGUGACCAGAAGGGGUGGAGCCUGGCUUCACCUCUCUUAGACCUCUUCUAAGGGCUGCCUGCUACUGGGAAAGGAUCUCUUCUUGGAGAUUCCUCCUUUGUGGAGUUUCUCCUUGUGAGCCUAGAUCUUCAGAGACAGACACGGGUGCUUCAACUGAACUAUUGUGGUCAGACCCUCCUCCCCCCAAGAGCAGCCUGAUAAUCUCAACAAAGUGUCUUGAAGCUGAACUGUCUUCUGGAGAGAAUGAAAGGAAUGGAGUGGAAGUGUGGAAAGAGUGGAAAAGGCUGGAUUGCUCAAUCAUGAAGCAGCACCAGGCUGAUAUAGAAUGCCACUGCCUAUUGUAUCUCCAGACAGCAUCAGGCUGAGGGUGUGAGGCCCUACAAUGAAAUUACUGCUGGAUGAACCCAGAGAAUCGCCUCGUGAUUUUGAGUUAGAGUUUCUCUAACUACAAAGUUGAGAGGGCUUGCUCCACCAAAAGACUAAAGUGUUCUAAUGAUGACAAUAAGAUUUAUCCAGAAAAGAUGUACAGGAUCCUGUGUUGCAUGUAGGAACGUGCCUGAGUCCCUUGGGAAAGAAUGCACAAAACUGCUCACACUGGGGAAAAAAAACCUGCUACCAGGAAGAAUUCAUAUUGAGGCCUUGCUCUGACAGCAUUGGGGCGGUGAUAUGAUGAAGACAAGCAAAUUUUCCGUUGCUGUAUACCAUGGAAAAGUAAAAUGUAACCGGCCACUUCCUCAGUUUGGCAGUCACAAGUAUGUGAAAAGAAGCUACUUCUGCAUUGCCAUGAUUUCUUUGGCCUAAGAUUAGGUAGAAGAUGCUUGAUCAAAUCAGUCAAACUCAAGUUUCCUGCUGUGAAUGUAACAGAUGAUAAAUAUAAACUUGAGUUCUCAUGCAUUUUCAGCCAUGAGUCCAUCUGGGAAUAAUUCCACUGAGAGAAGAAGGCUUCCAUUCUAUCAAGAAAAAAGGCUGCAUGGAAAUCACAGAAAGCUACAGAAGAAAGUAUCAGUCAUUGUUUAAAAGCAUUGUGGCCUGUGAAGAUGGAAACCAGAAUGGGAAUUUGUUUCCAAAUUUUAUAAGCUUCUAGAAACUAAAAUGAUGAGAAACAAAUGCAAAAAGUUCACAAAAGUACCAGUUACUUAAAAAAAAAAAGGCCUUAUUCUUUUAUGAUGAAUAAAACUGAUUAGAAGGAUAUUAACCAGAAUGCCAUCAUUUAAACAGGUAGAGAUAUUCCUAGUAUGUUUAGGUUGCCAACAAGAUUAGUCUUAUACUUCUCAGUUGCUAACGAUGAAGUUAUCAGCCACUGUAACAAAUCAUUAAGAGGAACAGUGAGCUUACCAUUUCUUGAAGUCUUCAAACUGAGAGUGAAUGGUAUGCUUUAGCAAACAAUGGAGACACAGCUGGGUGAAAUUAUAUGGUUGUACUAAAGAGCAGGAAACAUGAGAUGUUCUAUGUGGUCCUUUCUAGCCUUAAGAGCUAUAGAUCUAUAAUUUCACAAAUACCAUUACAAAGAAUUCCUUAGAAGUAGUGAUGACCAUAGCAAUAAUCUGAAUCCAUCUCCUGAUUUGGGGUAGAUUAUUCUAAAGAAUUUUGAAAAAUUAGAGGCUACAGUACUGUUUCUAUGUGGUACUGUCAUUACAAGGUUGUGUAACUAGCAUAAAGGGGGCACUUUGUAAUUUUACAGUAUUAGAAAUCCCUUUUUGUGGACUAAAAAGACCCUUCUUCUCUCCAAAAGAGCUCAUUGUACUUCAGUUCAUGAAUGAGUGUAUAAACAAGUAAGCAUGUGUACUGCUUUCCUAUGUGAUGCAUUUCUCUCACUAAAAUGUGUUAGGUUCACUUAGUGAAAUAAAAAAAUAUCCACAGAAGAAAUUAUAAGAUAUUGCUCAUUAACACAGGCUAUUUCUAAGCUAAGCUAAUUUUCUUC